AAUGUGUGUUUCCUGUUUUCAGACCAGGUGCAGUCGUACCUGCAGGAGUGUGAGCGAUGUGCAGCCGUCGUGAUUCAGAGUUUCUGGAGAGGCUUCAGAGAGCGGCGACCACUACAACACACACAAACACACACUGAGACGCACACGCACACAGCAGCAAGCGGGCCAGGACGCUGCAGAGAGCGGUUCGUCGCUUUCUGGAGAGACGUCGAGCAUCCAAAGCCCCGCCCACCCCGACUGUCUGGAUUGGUCAGAGCGGUUUGACGGACAGCCGGAGGGCGGAGCUUAAGAGACAGGUGGAGGAUUACAUCGCUGUUCAUCCUUCGUCCCGUAGGAGUCGGGAGGAGUGCGAGCGUCUCCACGAGGAGGUGCAGCUGCUCCUGCUGGAGGAGCUGCAGAGAGGAGAGCAGCACAGGAGGGAGGAGCAGAGGAGGGAGGCGCUGCUGGCUCACACACACACACAACUGGAGCUGCUCAGAGACGCCCCGCCCCUCUCCGUUGUCACUGCAACGGUCGCCGACUCCUUCCUGAGCCCGUCCGGUCCCGUCUCCGCCCGCGCCCGUGACUCCCACAAUGCAAUGCUGCAGGCGAGCCGGCUGCCCUGGUGGAGGACGCUG